CAUUAUUCAACUACAAUAUGGAAAAUGAAUACUAAAAAUGUCCUACAUGUGAUGUGACAAUGCAAAAGGCGGGGGCUGAUUAUCUACUGGUUCAUACAUGACUAUUGACUAGUAUCAGUGGAUCAUUAUUCACCGAACCUCUCCUAGCUAAGAACAUAUCCACCUUGGAAAUGACAUAUGCGGCCAUGCAUGCGUUUCACCUGCAACUUUAACCUCAACUGUUGGCCGCAACCGUUGUUUGUUAUGUUGUGUAAUGCUGAUGCCUCGUUGAGGCAUGUUGUUUCAGCUACGACGACAUGCAACUUCACUAAGGUUGGCUUUUUGUUGGCGUUGGCAACAACUGACAUUAUGUUGAAAAUAACCUAGCAUCGACUUGAACAUCCAAUAGAUUGGACGUACCUACCGCCCGGGCGGAUCAAAAGUGUGUUUCUAUGUGUUUCUUCUUUAUCAUAACACCAAUAUGGUAGACAACGACUUUGGUGUCCAUUAUUUCUUAUGACCCCAACUUCAAUUUCAAAUGUCUGACUUAUUUCUCAUUUCUUUUCACUUUUUUUUUUACCAAAACCCACUCACAUGACCCAUUUUAUCCUUGCUAGAAGACAAACAUGAUUCAACCUUUUUGAACAAACCUUACUAUGAUUGCACAAUAAUUGGGAAAAUAUGUGUAUAUAAAUAUAGCUAGCUAGACACAUUAUUUGUGGGUAGAAAAUUAGUACAUUUUCAAUUAAUUGGAACAGAUAUGAGUAGUUUCUAACAUACAAUUAGUAACUAGCUUACACUAACAUAAUCAUUAUUGUACAUAGAUGGAAUUAACCGGUAUGGGUAGGAAACUAGGAAUAAAAUCUUUGACUGCAAUGGUGAUUAUUGAAGAAAGUAAAGGAAGAUUGCAUAGAAUCUCUAAGUGUCUUUUUUCACUUGUCUUCCCAUAUGCUCCUGCACAUGAAAUUUCAAAUACGCAUGCCAUUGUGAUAGCCUGGUUCAAAAUGUUGACGUUUCUUUUGGAGUCCUCUGUCCACACUAGACUUGAAGUUUUUUUUUUUUGUUUUUAUAAGCCACACUAGAGUCUAGACUUCAAAUGCACAUUCGUGAUGUAAAUUGAGAGUGUUUGUGAUGUAAAUUGAGGAUGUUUGUUGAACUAUUAAGAUAAACACAGUUUUUUCAGUGUGAAGGAAAGAUUAAGUGGUAGAGAAACAUAGUGAAAUGAAAAUUGAUCUUAUAAUAGCUAUUAUAAUUUAAAGAAGUGUUUUUUAAUUAAAUGAGCCAUGGUUUGGAACUUCAGGUAACUUUAACACUCUAAGUCGACGCAACAUCAACCUGUAUAUUGUUCUCCACAAUUCUUUUUCCCACAAACCUACACAAACUGCAUAUCUAGGUAUAACUGACCUUCCACAUAGGUUUCUCAUUCUAAAUAAUUUAUAAAAUAACUCAACAUGAACGAUAUCACAUACAUACUAAGUAAUAUAAAUAUACAAAAUAACUAAAUUUCAAUUAAUAUUAAUAAAUACCACAUUAUUCAACUACAAUAUGGAAAAUGAAUACUAAAAAUGUCCUACAUGUGAUGUGACAAUGCAAAAGGCGGGGGCUGAUUAUCUACUGGUUCAUACAUGACUAUUGACUAGUAUCAGUGGAUCAUUAUUCACCGAACCUCUCCUAGCUAAGAACAUAUCCACCUUGGAAAUGACAUAUGCGGCCAUGCAUGCGUUUCACCUGCAACUUUAACCUCAACUGUUGGCCGCAACCGUUGUUUGUUAUGUUGUGUAAUGCUGAUGCCUCGUUGAGGCAUGUUGUUUCAGCUACGACGACAUGCAACUUCACUAAGGUUGGCUUUUUGUUGGCGUUGGCAACAACUGACAUUAUGUUGAAAAUAACCUAGCAUCGACUUGAACAUCCAAUAGAUUGGACGUACCUAACGCCAAUUAG
rnacentral:lncRNA from 1 species